GACGGAGGAUGCAAGUGUUAUCCGGAAUCACUGGGCGUAAAGCGUCUGUAGGUGGUUUACUAAGUCAACUGUUAAAUCUUGAGGCUCAACCUCAAAAUCGCAGUCGAAACUAUUAGGCUAGAGUAUAGUAGGGGUAAAGGGAAUUUCCAGUGGAGCGGUGAAAUGCGUAGAGAUUGGAAAGAACACCGAUGGCGAAGGCACUUUACUGGGCUAUUACUAACACUCAGAGACGAAAGCUAGGGUAGCAAAUGGG
rnacentral:rRNA from 1 species